UACAGAGGCCCCGAGCAUUACCCGGAAUUAUUGGGCGUAAAGGGUGCGUAGGUGGUCGUGUUAGUCGUCUGUCAAAUCCCUCGGCUCAACCGAGGACUCGCAGGCGAAACGGCACGACUUGAGAGCGUGAGAGGUACAUGGAACUCAUGGUGUAGGGGUGAAAUCCGUUGAUAUCAUGGGGAACACCGAAAGCGAAGGCAAUGUACUGGCGCGUUUCUGACACUCAAGCACGAAAGCGUGGGUAGCGAACGGG
rnacentral:rRNA from 1 species